rnacentral:rRNA from 1 species
UACGUAGGGGGCAAGCGUUGUCCGGAUUCAUUGGGCGUAAAGAGCGUGUAGGCGGCCGGGUAGGUCGGUUGUGAAAACUGGAGGCUCAACCUUCAGACGUCGACCGAAACCAUCUGGCUAGAGUCCGGGAGAGGAGAGUGGAGUUCCUGGUGUAGCGGUGAAAUGCGCAGAUAUCAGGAAGAACACCCGUGGCGAAAGCGGCUCUCUGGAACGGUACUGACGCUGAGACGCGAAAGCGUGGGGAGCGAACAGG